GGGGGUUUAGCUCAGUGGCAUAAGCACCUGCCUUGCAAGCAGGAGGUCGUGAGAUCAAUCCCCA
rnacentral:tRNA from 1 species